UCAGAGCUGGGAGCGCAGAGUUGGGCUUCGAGGGGCUGAGGGGAGGGCGGCCCGUGGCUGGCCGCUUUCCUUUUUUUAAAUAUAUAUAUUUAUUUUUUGUGUGUGUGUUCGUGUGUUUUUAAUUUUUUAAUUUUAAUUUUUACUUUUGAAGGUGUGAAGGGUGUUGUGUGGAAGCACUGCCGGGCUGUUGGCAGGGGGAUGCCCCCUGUCACUUGGCCCCCCAUCACUCUCUAUGAAGAGAGGUGCCCAAAAUGGCCUCUCCACGCCAAAUGGGGUCCCAUGCGUGGCCACACACACGUGUGUGCCGCGUGCUGGUGUUUUGACACCCGUAUCACCAGGCGGGUGGAAAACUUCGCUUGGUGCCUGCGGUGCACCUCGGGCCAAGGUUGCUUGAAGUUGUUGCUCCAGGAUCCUCAGGGUUGGGAGGUUCCUGGGGGUGGUUUUCUCUUGGCUUCCUGCCCUCUGAAGGCCUCUUGACAGGAGGGUUAACUCUUUGUAGGGCUGCAAAUGCACAUUUAAUGUGCACAGCCCUGUAAAUCACUGGCAUGUUUAGCAGAGCUGUACAGUGGGGAGGAAGGAGAGCAGGCAGUACUGUAGCACUUGAGACUACCAGCAUGUUUCUUUUUUGCCCCCUCAUUUUCUUCAGAUUUUAUCUUUUACAUCACCAGAUCAUCUGUGACCAGAAAGCACGCAGGCAUACCUGCACCACUGCCCUCAUCUGUGCUGAGAAGCCCUAAGAGAUGGAAAGCUUUGGCCGGCAAAGUGCUGAUCAUUAGUGCAGCUUGUGCUCAGGAAGUGCUCAAAGGACACGUGUGCCUUUCACCGAAUGAUUAUGUUCUGGAGAAUAGGAGUUGGAGUUCCUGUAAUAGUUUGUCUAGUGUAUGCUUCUGUCUGUGCCAGCUUUGGGGGGCAGAUGAGACAGCAGUGACAGUGUCUCAGCACAAGCUUCUAGGUCUGAACUACAGAGGAAAGGAUGCUGGUAGUGGCUGUGCAAUCCUCUAUCUGAAAGUCCUUACGUUACAGGGCACAUUUCUUUGAAAUCCACGAGGAGGUACUCAGCAAUUUAGAUAGGCUGUGGAUGACAAAACAGCUCCCAAAGUGACAGUGGGAUUGCUCCUUCCAGAUCUGGGGUUCAAGUUACCCACCUGCUUAUGUCCUACCACCGCUGUUCUCCUGGUCUCAUCACAUAGCUCUGGUGCUUGCAGGACCAAGGAGCUGCUGCAAUUCAAUCAAGGGACAAUUCUCUCUCUAAUUUACCUAAUACCUUUGUGAUUGUAAAGAAUGUUUCAAACCAACCCCUUGCUUUGAUUACCCAAUCCUUUAUCUGUGAGAAUUGCCUGCUGUGUGCACAGCAUCUCUGUUUGCCUGUAUACAUCUCUUCAAGUCUGUUCUCUCUGAGCUUUGUAUUCUGCUGUAUUCUGUACCUUCUGUAUUUCCCAGCGUGUCCCAGUCCAGGCCUAACAGAUGUGGUUCAUGUGUUCUGGUAAUCCUGAAGUGAGUGUUAAGCUAUUUAUUUCAUCAGUGUUUGUUAACUAAAAGUUUAUUGUGAGUGGUAUUGAUAGUUACUUUCUGUUACUCAGACAAAAUUCCUGCUAAUGGGUGUUCAGCUGGUAAUAACUUUGUGAGCCUCCUGGCUGAAAUUUUCCAGGCCAGUUGUCCACAUCCAAAUUAGACUUGUAAACACAGUCAUAUAUUGAAGUUACAUGAUCAUGCAGCAUUUUUCACAGGACUCUUCCCUCAUAAAUGGCCAGGGGGGACCUGCUUCCAGGAAUCAUGGCUUGUAAGAAGGGUGAGUGUUUUCUGCAGGACCUCUGACUUAUUUGGUCUAGAACUUAGAACGUGUUUGUCUGGUGAGUCAGGAUAUUGCUGACACAGAAAGGAUGUUUUAAUUAUUAAUACAGUUGAAUGCUGCCCUGGAAGAUUGGAUUAUGUCCCUGUUGCAGGAUUCAUGUGUGACAAGAAGCAAGUCAUUUAACCAAAUUUACCACAGGUGCUCAUUAACUGCAUCCUCCUCUUUUUCUAGGUUCUUGACCGGAGACUCUGAUUUGUGGAAUUUCUGAGUCCUCAUGGUUGCAAAGAAAAUUAGCAGGGACUGUCCAUGGCACAUGUAAGUUCUCUGAAAAAAAUGAAGUCCUAGGCAUACCAAAUUAUCAGGUAUCUCUGAUUUCCUUCUGUGCACUGCAGUUCUCUUCUAUAAAGUAGUGUACAGUCAUAAGGGGUUCUGCCCCAUCUCACACAGGAACAAUGGAGAUUCAUCUGAUGAAACUCCAGGCUUUCUUUAUGAGAUGCCCUAAAAAGCAAUUAGUAGUUCAGUCUUCCAAACACAGUUUACAUUAAGUACAGUAAAUAAGGCCUGCAACAACAUAAUAGAGAAUGAGAAAAAGCAUAAAAAAUGUAUUGUUGCUCAUUAAAGGAACACCACCCAUUCUGUCUGACUUUUGAGUACUUGACUUUGCAAUUGUAAUAAUAUUAUUUUAACAUAUUCUUUUGUGUACAGUACCUAAAAAUGCUGAUAGGAUUCCUAAUUUAAAUGUUGCUUUUUAGAGGGCUGCUUUACUAGCAGAAGAGUCCUGGAUAAAUCCCCCUUUUAUAAUA